rnacentral:misc_RNA from 1 species
GAUGAAGAACGUAGCAAAAUGCGAUAAGUAAUGUGAAUUGCAGAAUUCAGUGAAUCAUCGAAUCUUUGAACGCACAUUGCGCCCGCUGGUAUUCCGGCGGGCAUGCCUGUUCGAGCGUCAUUUCAACCCUCAAGCCCCCGGGUUUGGUGUUGGGGAUCGGCUCUGCCCUUCUGGGCGGUGCCGCCCCCAAAAUACAUUGGCGGUCUCGCUGCAGCCUCCAUUGCGUAGUAGCUAACACCUCGCAACUGGAACGCGGCGCGGCCAUGCCGUAAAACCCCAACUUCUGAAUGUUGACCUCGGAUCAGGUAGGAAUACCCGCUGAACUUAAGCAUAUCAAUAAGCGGAGGA